rfam:Papilio xuthus contig9520, whole genome shotgun sequence.
AAAUAGGUUUUAUUAAAAACCAUUUUUUUUAUUGUAGAAUAACAG